GAUUGUAGGCUGCAACCCGCCUACAUGAAGUUGGAAUUGCUAGUAAUCGCAGAUCAGAAUGCUGCGGUGAAUACGUUCCCGGGCCUUGUACACACCGCCCGUCACACCAUGGGAGCCGGUACUACCCGAAGUCAGUAGUCUAACCGCAAGGGGGGACGCUGCCGAAGGUAGGAUUGGCGACUGGGGUGAAGUCGUAACAAGGUAAC
rnacentral:rRNA from 1 species